GGAAACUACGUGCGAGGAGGCUGGGUAAGACGGGGGGUGCAGGCGUUAAUCGGAAUGAGUGGGCGUAAAGCGCACGCAGGCGGUCUGGCAAGUCGGAGGUGAAAUCCCCGGGCUCAACCUGGGAACUGCAUUCGAAACUGGCAGGCUAGAGUCUUGUAGAGGGGGGUAGAAUUCCAGGUGUAGCGGUGAAAUGCGUAGAGAUCUGGAGGAAUACCGGUGGCGAAGGCGGCCCCCUGGACAAAGACUGACGCUCAGGUGCGAAAGCGUGGGGAGCAAACAGGAUUAGAUACCCGAGUAGUC
rnacentral:rRNA from 1 species